CACGGUAAGUUAUUUAAACUAUUGGGCUCAUGACUCAAAAAACAAGGUGAAACCCCUUUUCGUGCCU
rnacentral:tRNA from 1 species